rnacentral:rRNA from 1 species
AGGACGAACGCUGGCGGCGUGCUUAACACAUGUAAGUCGAACGGAAAGGCCCUGCUUUUGUGGGGUGCUCGAGUGGCGAACGGGUGAGUAACACGUGAGUAACCUGCCCUUGACUUUGGGAUAACUUCAGGAAACUGGGGCUAAUACCGGAUAGGAGCUCCUGCUGCAUGGUGGGGGUUGGAAAGUUUCGGCGGUUGGGGAUGGACUCGCGGCUUAGUCAGCUUGUUGGUGGGUAGUGGCUUACCAAGGUCUUUGACGGGUAGCCGGCCUGAGAGGGUGACCGGCACAUUGGGACUGAGAUACGGCCCAG